GUGGGGAAUAUUGGACAAUGGGGGGAACCCUGAUCCAGCCAUGCCGCGUGUGUGAAGAAGGCCUUUUGGUUGUAAAGCACUUUAAGCGAGGAGGAGGCUACCGAGAUUAAUACUCUUGGAUAGUGGACGUUACUCGCAGAAUAAGCACCGGCUAACUCUGUGCCAGCAGCCGCGGUAAUACAGAGGGUGCAAGCGUUAAUCGGAUUUACUGGGCGUAAAGCGCGCGUAGGUGGCCAAUUAAGUCAAAUGUGAAAUCCCCGAGCUUAACUUGGGAAUUGCAUUCGAUACUGGUUGGCUAGAGGAUGGGAGAGGAUGGUAGAAUUCCAGGUGUAGCGGUGAAAUGCGUAGAGAUCUGGAGGAAUACCGAUGGCGAAGGCAGCCAUCUGGCCUAAUACUGACGCUGAGGUACGAAAGCAUGGGGAGCAAACAGGAUUAGAUACCCCAGUAGUCC
rnacentral:rRNA from 1 species